rnacentral:hammerhead_ribozyme from 1 species
AGCCGAAACAGUGGAUUACAAUCCGCUGUCCGCCGGAAGUGGUCGUCCGACGCUGAUGAGGCAGACCAAA